GACGAACGCUGGCGGCGUGCUUAACACAUGCAAGUCGAACGGAAAGGCCCUGCUUUUGUGGGGUGCUCGAGUGGCGAACGGGUGAGUAACACGUGAGUAACCUGCCCUUGACUUUGGGAUAACUUCAGGAAACUGGGGCUAAUACCGGAUAGGAGCUCCUGCUGCAUGGUGGGGGUUGGAAAGUUUCGGCGGUUGGGGUUGGACUCGCGGCUUAUCAGCUUGUUGGUGGGGUAGUGGCUUACCAAGGCUUUGACGGGUAGCCGGCCUGAGAGGGUGACCGGCCACAUGGGGACUGAGAUACGGCCCAGACUCCUACGGGAGGCAGCAGUGGGGAAUAUUGCACAAUGGGCGGAAGCGUGAUGCAGCAACGCCGCGGGCGGGAUGACGGCUUUCGGGUUGUAAACCGCUUUCGCCUGUGACGAAGCGUGAGUGACGGUAAUGGGUAAAGAAGCACCGGCUAACUACGUG
rnacentral:rRNA from 1 species